AGAUGAACGACCUAAUUCAAGACUGCGCAAGAGUUAGUGCUAAGCACCUCGCAAACGCAGCAGAAGAAGAAAAGGAACUAGACGUCAAACAGUUUUACGGACACUUCGCCCUGGACAUGAUUGCGAGAUGUGCGUUCGGCACGACGCUCGACUCCUACACGGACGCCACGAACGAGUUUGUUACGCAAGCGAGGAUAGCCUUCGCCGCCAACAUCACUCCACUGCACAUGAUCAAUGUGCUGCUAGCCAACUUUUUCAAGAGUAGAAAACCGAAAACUUUCAACGAAGGGGCUUUCCUCUACUUCAAGAGCAUCUGCCAACGCAUCAUGAAACAAAGAGCAGAAACAAAUGAG